UACAGAGGUCUCAAGCGUUUGUUCGGAUUCAUUGGGCGUAAAGGGUGCGUAGGCGGCGCGGUAAGUCGGAUGUGAAAUCUCGGAGCUUAACUUCGAAACUGCAUUCGAUACUGCCGUGCUUGAGGACUGGAGAGGAGACUGGAAUUUACGGUGUAGCGGUGAAAUGCGUAGAUAUCGUAAGGAAGACCAGUGGCGAAGGCGGGUCUCUGGACAGUUCCUGACGCUGAGGCACGAAGGUCAGGGGGAGCAAACGGG
rnacentral:rRNA from 1 species